CAGCUCUGCAACAAAGGGACAAGAGCAAGUGUGAAUUUAUGGUAUUGCAAACUGCCGAAGGAAAGGCAGGGAAGAAAGGGAAGCUGACAUCAAUUAAUCUGUGCUAAAUACCUUCUUUGACAUUCUGCAAAGAAUUUUGGCCUUGUAACUUUAUGUACUGUCUGCUGUGGAGGUGCAGUGUGCCCAGAGCAGACACAAGGCUUGCUCCAGCAAGGGAGGAGUUGGCUCUUGGUGGCGGAAUGUGUCAGGCCCCCAGGGAACUGCUCUUUGCCAUUUGGAGAGGUCAGACCAUUAAAACUGUGAAAUAGCUGAAUGUGGAAAAAAGUGGUUUUUGUUGUUGUUGUUUUUUUUUUUUUUCCCAAAAGCCUGAGGGACCCAAUAGAAUUUGCUCAGCAGCUGAAUCUGUCUGGAGAGAUCAGCAGUGGGCAAGUCACGUCACCCCAGGCCCUGCACUCUCUCUGCUCUUGGCCUGGCCCUGCCGCUGUCCAUCCGUGGAACCACAUCAAGGGAAAGGUGGGAGCUGGUGCAUUUUGCGCCCACAGCUGCAGCCUUUCCACUACUCCUUGCAGCUGCGUGCAGCACUGCCUCCCUCUCACAGCAGGAAGUAGUGAAGGUGUCAGUCAAUAGGGGCAGAGGGGCCAGGAAGAGUCCCAAUUUAAAGAUCAAAAAGUGCCACGAUACUCUGUUAUAUUCAAACCUCUUGUUUGUACCGUGCUCCACAUAUUUUGAAUUUUAACAUUUGUCAUUUUUACUUUCAAGCCAGUUCUGCAGCUGGCUCAGCUAACAGGUGUUUUCAAAACAACAACAAAAACCUGUGUGUUUUAGCAAUCACCCAGAAUGAAAAACAAGAGUGGUUUGCUGUUCCACACUGCUCACCAUGAUGCUCUUGUACAUAUUGCCGUUGUUGUCUUCUACGCUGAUGCGGAUGAUGCACGUGUCUUCGUUCUGCUGGUUGUAAGCAGGAGGCAGUACUGUUGAGGUAAUGGAUGUCACAGAGAUAGAGCGCUUGUGGAUCUUGGGGUUGGAGGACAAGAAGGGAGGGGAUGAAAUUACAUUGGUUAAAGAUGACACCCCUGAGGAAGAUGUGUCCAUGGAGUGGAUGGAGGAACAGGAAGAGGAGGAUUCUGAGAGCUGUACAACAGAAGGAAAGAAAAAACACAGAAACAUGGCAUUAUGUUUGUGUGCAGGGUGUCAUUCUGGAGGAAGAAGCUGAGAAAGCAGGAGGUCUAUGUACUGGACAUGCCGUGUGCUGCUUGUUUUCCCACUGCUCUCAGGAAUAGCUGGCCAGGAGGUGGCAGCAGAAACAAAGAAUGAAAUGAAGUUGUGGGCUCCCAGCUGGGGACAGUUGUGGGAAGAGCAGAGUGCCAUGCCACUGCUGCUUUGCAGCGAGUCCCAGCCUUUACAUGGGGAACUGGACUCAAAACUGAGCCUAACCUGCAGUAGUGCUGCUCUGAAAUGAAUGGCUGCUCGUUCUUAUGAGGAAGCCAGGUACAAGAACCAAGUGCUCUUAAAUUAAUUUUCUCCCUCAUUUUGAUGAUGCCACUGAUACAUGGGAGUCUCUUCAUAUCUCCUCUCACAUCAGGUUCAAAAUUCUCACCUUUAAGAUAUUUUUCCUUUGGCUCUUGAUCUCUGCUUUCAUUGCCUGUAGCUUUCCCUGAAUUCCUGCUAGUCCGUUGUUUCCUGCGUCUGCUUAGCUGCGUGCCCCUGUUCUUCACCUACCUCCUGUCUGAAUCUUUAAGCUAUUAGACUAAAUUGGACCAUGGCCCUAUGGUUAUUUCCUUCUCUAACCUGAAGGCAGUUAGGCUGAUUGUUUUUCUUAUCAAUGCCUUUUUGCCAACCUUAAUUAUCACAUUAAAAUCCUGCAAGAAGUUUUUGCAUGUGUGUAGUAAGUUAGAUUAAUGAUAGACCAAACUUGAUCCUCAUUUACUCUGUUUUGCUACUGCAUUCAGGGAAGCUACCGCACAAUAGAUACUGAAUUUAUAAUUCACCACUAAAACUGUUCCUUCUUUGACACUUUAAAAAGUCUUAUUUGUUUCUAACCUCUUUCAUCAUUAAUAAGCCUUAUGAUUAGUUAUAACAAUAGAAAAGAACAACUUCAGAUAGAACUGAGUUUAUAGCUGGUGGUGUCUCCUUAAAGUAAUACAGUGACGAGGUUUUUCAGCUGGUGAAAUGAGUACUGCUUGUUUAAUUUAUUCUGGUUUGUAUUAACAUGCCAAAGGCCACUAGCCCAGUCAUACUCACAGGCUGAGCCUCUUCACCAUGCUUUUCCGAGGUUUUGGUGACGUGGUGCUGGUGUCAACAGCUGCUUCAAUCUCACAUGAAAGGCUGUAACUGCAGAACAGAGGCCACUGGGUUAAUUUUUACAGCUAAUACCAUUAGUUAUGUAUGUCAAAGUAGCAAUAUUCAAGACAUUUGAGAAGUCUUCAGUUAUUUCCACUUCACAGAAGGUUGCAACCCCACAACGAGGAUCAUAGCUCUGUCCACAUUUUACCACAGUAAAGGGGUUAUUUCAAUCCUUUAGAAUAGUUUUAAAGACUAAAAAACUGCUUUUUUUGAGUGACGUUCAUCAUUUUAUUUAAAAAAACAAAA